rnacentral:lncRNA from 1 species
AAAUUUUUUUUGAGGUUAAAAUAAUCAAAGUUAUUGAAAUAUUCUUCUAGAGUGGGUGCAAUGAAGAUAGAUAUCUUGCCAAGCGAAGUGUGGCUAGAAACAUUUGUGGUAAAAUGAGCGAGAAAUUAAAGUUUCAAUCUAAAACCGCAUAAUUUUAAUGACAAUCUACAUUAACCAUAAUGUGAAGAGUUGACAGAUAGACAGGCGGACCGACAGACGCAAAGUGAGACGAAGCAAAUGACGAUUUUUCAUCUGACCAAUAUAAGAUUUUGAAAACGAAAAUUAUAACUGGUACAAUUUAUUUGUCAAUUCAUAAUACGUGUUUUUAUUUUUGUUCUAUUUUCGGAGGUCGUGUUAGACUUUU